ensembl:lncRNA
GAUGGCUAGUGCAAAAUUGUCUAUAUUUCAAAGCAGUAAUCUUUCUGAAAAUGUUUUUUAAGAUUCAAUUAGUAUGUAUAACAAAAUCAUAAUGAGCUCAAGAUGCAUCAGGAAGAUUCAUUAGCAUGGCAUACUUAAACUUCUGUGUCAUUUUGCCUGGAAUUUUAAGUUCUUUUACCAUCUGCCCUUUGUUCAACAGCUGUAUUAUUGCCGCUAAAAUGUUUUCAUCUGCCCUACAUUAAAGUUAUUUUAAAAUUAAGGACUACAGAUAGCUUUUGUCCUUGCUCUUCAUGUGAUAUUAUUGUCAUAUAAUAAAUAUAUCUGAAAACAUAAUUUGGAGUUUUUCAAGACAGGCUGAAAUAUUGUAAACGCUAAAAUUGCUUUUUUUAGGUACAACAACUAGAGAGAAGAUUCAAAGAUAUUGAAGGGGAAUUAAAGAAACAGAAAGAAGUAAAUAAAGACUCACUGAAUGAGAAAAUGUAUUUGAAAGAAUUUUUAAAAGUGCAAAAGGAAGAUUCAGACACAAGAAAAAGAGAGCUGGAAACACUAUUUAAGAGGAUUUGUGAGGUCAAAAAAGAAAAAGCAGAACUUCAUUUCAUGAUUGAUGAGAAGGAGAAAGAAGCUGCCUCUUAAGUAACAGAUGCUAACAGGUUGAGAAAUGAAAGUGAAGAUUUGCUGAGUCAAGUGCAGGAGCAGAAGUGUUUGUUGGAUAAAGCCAAAGCAGUAGUAAUUUCUGGGCAAUGUAAUUGCAAGAUAACAGGCACCAAGGUUAAAUUAAAAACAGCCAAGAAAAAGAGCUCUUUGGGACAUCAUGGAGCUUUUCUCAAACAGUCCAUCAAGGUUAUGAGUAAUGUGUUUGAGAACUUCAGUAAGGACGGCUGGGAGGAUGUGAGUGAAAGCAGUAACUCUGAAAUAACAACUUCUGAACGUUUGGAAACAGUGAUUAUGAAGACAGUGCAAAACAUUUAUCUACUGCCAGACAGAAGUACACAAGAAGAAAAAAAGCCCUGCAAUUUGCUUCAUUUAGAAGUCCAAAAUGAGCAACAUAAUAAAAAGGUAUAUAUUGUUUUGUUCUCCUGAGGGGAGUUUUGGAGUUUAAUAUUAGCACUGCUGCCCCUCUUAAUUAAUUU